AAGCAUUAAAUGAAUCAGACUACCUGAUUCUGUUUUGCCAGAGCUAUAUUAGUAUGAGUGCCAGAAAAUUUAAGUAGAUCUAAAGCAGCUACAGUAAUACAUCAGAGUUACAGGGCUGGCCUAGGCCCUGUGGCAAAGAUUUUAUUUGUAAGUAGCUUUUUUUUUUUUGACAAGCAAUUUUUACUCAUGAAAUAAAUGGAUAAUGCCUUAUUCCAAGAUGGCUGUAAAAAAAAAAAAAAAAAAAACCUUAAUGGAUGAAAAUUGUUUUAUUUCAUUAAUGCAAAACAAAAUCAUCUUAAGUUAGCUCAUUUAGGUUGUAACUUACUCCUUUUUACUGGAAAUCAGAACAUUUAUCAAUUCUGUUCUUUGCAGUCAGAAUUAUAGCCUGGGUCUUUAUUAUGAUCGUCCCUGACUUCUCCAGUUAAUUCAAUUGCAUUUCAGUAGCUGAGUCAGAAACAUCUCAUUUAUCUUAUCAAAUAAUAUAGUCAUUAUAUUCUAAUACAGUAGAUGGAUCCCAGUAAACAUCUGGGGGGAUUUUGGGUGACUUAGGGAGGGAAAAGGAAAUAUUUCAACAAUGAGCUUGACAGGUAUUUUUGGGUAGAGAUUUCAUAAUAUUUACUCCUCCUGAGCUCUGUUUGUCCCACUGUACUUACUCUGGUGUUACACCACUCGGUGAUGCAUUCCCAGCAGAACAGGUGCCCACAAGGUGUGGCUGUUGCAUGUCUCCGUUCCUCCAAACACAAAGUGCAGCGGGACUGGCGCCCAGUAGUUCCUUCCUUUAUCGUAUUUCUAAUCAACAAAGGUAUUAAUUAGCUUUAUGAGGCCUGUUUGCAAGAAAUGCUUGUUAACACAAUCUUGUGAAGCCCACCUUCAAGUACUAACCUUUCCUGUGACAGUCUCAUACGUAAAAGCAAAGCAUGAAAUCUAAGGUGUUUAGUACCAUGAGCAUGUCCAGUGUUAUGCUACAUCAGGUUCUAUCUUAAGUCAAAAUGUAAUUCCAGUGCUCUCCCUGUUUGUGAAAGCCAUUACAUUUCCCACUAUUGCUUCUAUCUUUCCUCUUAAGUAAAGAUCAACAUACUUCUGGAGAGCUAGGUUGCGGUGUAGUUUCCAUUCCUGCCUUGCUCUCUGCUUUUGUUGGAAGCUGUAUAUCUGAACACCAAUUGUCAGAAGAAGAUGGAAGAGUGAAAUUAUUCCAAGGAACUUGUAACUUGAUCGAAUGCUCUGAUCUUCUCCUUGUAGUCCUCCAAAGUGCAGCUGCGUAAUGCACACAAAUAGAGAUGUUUAGUUGCUUCAAUUUUACAAAACUAUGCCUUCCCCCAUUAUCAAUAAACCCUUUAUCUCCUCCUCACCCAGACUGCACUGCGUGUAUUAUAAUCAGCAAAAUUCUAUAUCCCUUUUAUGCACACUGCAUCCCAAAAGAAGCCAAAAUACUGCAGUGCAUGUGAUUUUGACACAAUUAAUAGAUCUACUUACAUAUCUGAUUCCUGCAAUUCUUUUAGAUAGGUGAUAAAAAGUGCCAUGUAUGUAGAACACUGCCAGAUGUAGUCGGUGAAGCAAAGGGAUGGACUGUUUAAGGAUGUACACAACUUGUAGGAUUGUUUUCUUCUGUUGUUCUGUAAGUUCCCUGACUUGUUUCUGAAUCCAGUUUCGUAUUAAGGUCCUACUGGAUAAGCCAAGUGCUGGGUUGCUUUGCAAGGUUCUUGCCCCAUCAUCUUCUAUCUGCAACUCAUGUUCCAGAUGCUGCAAUCCCUUUUCUAAGUAAUAGGGUACUAUGGUAUGGAGAGAAACGAAGAUGGCCCGUCGAAGAAAAGAAGGUACCCUUUUCUUGGUGGAGUCAACUUGAACAAUGUUGACAUAUUCUUCACCCAGAGUCUGAUAACCUGACAGGGUGGUGAGGGCGAAGUAGGCAACGUCGGAGAGCAGCUCGAUCUCCCUCCUCCACUCCAGCCACUUCUUAGCCCCUAAGAGAUCAGGAUUGUUAUUUUAAGUCAAACUCGUACUGAUCUAACCUCUCCUCCGACAGCGAUUCCUCGCAGAUCCCCCGCCGCACUUCCAGCCCCGCCCGGCCCCGUGAGGCAGCGCGCAGCCGGGAGCCCUCUCCUCAGCAGCGUUCGGAGGAAUGGAGCCGUCGCGCCCCGCGUCACCUCAGCACAACACCGAUCCGCAGGAGGGGUGACGUUACCCGCGAUCCCGUGCAGCGCGGUGCCGGCCCCGCUGCGCAGGCCGCUCCGGUACAGCUCGUCCUUCUGCCCGCAGCGCACCAGCCGAGCCGGCCCGGCGGGGCCCAGCGCCAUGGCGCGGCGCAGGGUGACGACGUCACCGCGACUGGGCGGGAAGUUGAAGGGGAGGUGCGGUUCCCGCCUCGCUCGCGCGCCGCUCGGCAGCCGUUGGCGCUGCGCUUCCCGCCUUCCCGCUGAGGGGAGCGCUGCCCUCAGGUGGCGGCGUCUGUGGUACGUGAUGGCACGCGCCAGCGAGCGCGAGGCUGGCAGCACCUCAGAGCUCAGUGCCCUGGUCACAGCGACACAGCUCACCUGUUUUACUGCGCCAAACGGACUGUGAAACUGUGGUGAAUCUCGUGCUGUCCCGUUGUUCGAGGCGCAGCUCGAUUUUUUUGGUAAUGCAAAGAAGGGCACGCGACCUAAACACAGCUGCUACAGAUUGCUCCAUCUGUAGCUGCACAAGCAGCGCAAUUAAAGAAAAAUGUUGGAAAGUUUGUUCUGGUGAAGCAGCAGGGGGAGCUCCUGCAUCAGAAAUCUGCCCGGAUCGCCUCCGCUUCCACACCGGUUUGCCAUCGCCUUCCCCAGGGAGCUGCCCCGCAGACACCAGGCCAACCCAGCGGGACGGCCUUCCCACCGCUCCGUUUAGAAUUCGAGGUCACCUCAUAGCCCCGUACGAUUUGAUUCUGCUCGAAGGUGUGUUUCCCACCCUUCCAUGCAUCCGACAGCUCAGUCGUUAAGAAAAGCAACAAACAGGUGAAGAUGUUUAGAGUUAUGAGCGUUGGUGGCGUUCUCCCCAUAAAAAUGGUUGCAGCUGCUAUAUUGUGUAUGCAGUGCAGCAAAGGCAUCCCAACUGCAGCUCCGUCACGCUGCCUGUGCACUGUGCAGCAAUCUGCAAUCGAGGAGUUAACGAUUGCUUAUUGACUGCACACGAGAACAUUAGAACUUGGGGAUUCCAUGGGGAGCUGGGAACAACAGUGGUGUUUUGUUGGUGCCACGGGCUGAGCCAGGCUGAUAGCUGGGAGGUUGGUCACAGUGCUUGGGAGAAUUCCAACUUUGUGUUCAUUAUAUGGUUUUUGAGUCUACAGG
rnacentral:lncRNA from 1 species